rnacentral:rRNA from 1 species
UACGGAGGGGGCUAGCGUUGUUCGGAAUUACUGGGCGUAAAGCGCACGUAGGCGGCUUUGCAAGUCAGAGGUGAAAGCCCGGGGCUCAACCCCGGAAUUGCCUUUGAGACUGCAUCGCUAGAAUUGUGGAGAGGUAAGUGGAAUUCCGAGUGUAGAGGUGAAGUUCGUAGAUAUUCGGAAGAACACCAGUGGCGAAGGCGACUUACUGGACACAUAUUGACGCUGAGGUGCGAAAGCGUGGGGAGCAAACAGG